UACGUAGGGGGCAAGCGUUGUCCGGAAUUAUUGGGCGUAAAGAGCGUGUAGGCGGCCAGAUAAGUCCGCUGUGAAAACUCGAGGCUCAACUUCGAGAUGUCGGUGGAAACUUUCUGGCUAGAGUCCGGAAGAGGAGAGUGGAAUUCCUGGUGUAGCGGUGAAAUGCGCAGAUACCAGGAAGAACACCCGUGGCGAAGGCGGCUCUCUGGGACGGUACUGACGCUGAGACGCGAAAGCGUGGGGAGCGAACAGG
rnacentral:rRNA from 1 species